UCUUACGGCCAAAAAAAAAUGAGCGCGCCCGAUCUUGUCUGAUCUCGGAAGCUAAGCAGGGUCGGGCCUGGUUAGUACUUGGAUGGGAGACCGCCUGGGAAUACCAGGUGCUGUAAGCU
rnacentral:rRNA from 1 species